rnacentral:rRNA from 1 species
AUUGAACGCUGGCGGCAGGCCUAACACAUGCAAGUCGGGCGAGCGGUGGACGGGUGAGCUAUGUAUGUGGAUCUUCCUGAUGGAGGGGGAUAACAACCGGAAACGGUACCUAUUACCGCACACCAGAAGAUGAAUCCACAUGGGUUUAGCUUGUAGGUGAGGUAACGGCUCACCAAGGCGACGAUCCCUAGCUGGUCUGUGAGGAUGAUCAGCAACACUGGAACUGAGACACGGCCCAGACUCCUACGUGAGGCAGCAGUGGGGAAUAUUGCACAAUGGGCGCAAGCCUGAUGCAGCCAUGCCGCGUGUGUGAAGAAGGCCUUCGGGUUGUAAAGUACUUUCAGUCGGGAGGCGUUACCAACAGAAGAAGCACCGGCUAACUCCGUGCCAGCAGCCGCGGUAAUUC